GAGUGAAAGUGUGUCUCGAUUUUGAAAUCGACACCGUGGACGAGCUACUCGAAAUAUGAAGGAUUUACCAACGGAUGACCUUGACGGACCGAUGGUACAAGAUGGCGGUGCGUUGAACCCG
rnacentral:lncRNA from 1 species